rnacentral:rRNA from 1 species
UGGGGAAUAUUGCACAAUGGGGGAAACCCUGAUGCAGCAACGCCGCGUGAGUGAUGACGGCCUUCGGGUUGUAAAGCUCUGUCUUCAGGGACGAUAAUGACGGUACCUGAGGAGGAAGCCACGGCUAACUACGUGCCAGCAGCCGCGGUAAUACGUAGGUGGCAAGCGUUGUCCGGAUUUACUGGGCGUAAAGCGUGCGUAGGCGGUUCGUUAAGUCCGUUGUGAAAGCCCUGGGCUCAACCUGGGAAUUGCAGUGGAUACUGGCGAGCUAGAGUACGGUAGAGGAUGGUGGAAUUCCCGGUGUAGCGGUGAAAUGCGUAGAGAUCGGGAGGAACACCCGUGGCGAAGGCGGCCAUCUGGACCAGUACUGACGCUGAGGCACGAAAGCGUGGGGAGCAAACA